rnacentral:rRNA from 1 species
UACAGAGGGUGCGAGCGUUAAUCGGAAUUACUGGGCGUAAAGCGUGCGUAGACGGUCAAGUAAGUCGGGUGUGAAAGCCCCGGGCUCAACCUGGGAACUGCAUUUGUGACUGUAGAGCUGGAGUACGGCAGAGGGGGAUGGAAUUCCGCGUGUAGCAGUGAAAUGCGUAGAUAUGCGGAGGAACACCGAUGGCGAAGGCAAUCCCCUGGGCCUGUACUGACGCUCAUGCACGAAAGCGUGGGGAGCAAACAGG